GUCCUAGUAGGACAUACAGCUGCUAUGGAAACUCUGUGAGCCACGUCUGAAGCUGCCUUGGUCUCGAGUUUGUAACGCAUUUCUAGAUGAAGAACUCUACUUAAAAAAAAAAAAAAAAAAAAAAAAAAAAAAAAAAAAAAAAAAAAAAAAAAAAACCGCCAGGCUCUCGGCUGUGGUUCCCAAGAUAAGAGAAGUCCUCACCUGACUGGGUAAGCCCAUAGGCUGUGGAAACAGAGACUCACGCUGCACCCUGGCACUCACCUGACCUGUGAGCCUUGCAGUCACUGACAAGAAGGUUAGCCCACUAGGCCUCCCUUCCUACGCUGUAAAGGGGCCCAGUCCAGCUUUGCCUGGUUUCUCAUUACAAUCCCCUUGCCAAGACGUCUGCCAGGGCUGAAAUCAGCCUUAGCUGAUCAAUAUCCCUCUCCAUCUUACUUCCUGCUCCCCUCCACGCCCCCACCCCACCCCAUGCUGGAAGGAGAGGGUAAUUUAGGAAAAUCCCUGAGAGGCUGGCCCUUCUCUGGGGGAAAAGAUGGUAAUAGUAAUGUCUAAGCAGCAGGUACCCUUAGGACCCUGAUAUAAAACCAGAUUCUCUGACCCAACCCUUGCGAGUCAAAGGCCCUGGAGGAGAGCCUGGCGUUCAGGUUUUAACCCAGCCACAGGCACUUCCUUUGGGCAUCAGUUUGGAAACCCUGGUUUGAAUGAAGCAGUACAUUCUCUCUCACACAGGAUCUGUCUGGUCCUGGCUAUCUUUCUCCCGGUUUAUUCAACACUGCCAGGUCUGCCUAGUUGGAACCUAAUUUCUCCCUCUCGUAAUGAGGAGAAAUAGCCUUCCUUUUGGUAAUUCCUCCUGUGAUAAGCGUGCAUCUCAUAUUCUGUUUUUCCAGAUAAGGUGUGAAGUGGGGCUGGCUUUAACAACAUCAGCAGGAAGUUGUCAGUUGCCAAGGCAACAUGCUGGUGGGAGGAAGGAGAAUUGUCCUACUUUUCACAGGGAAGGUUAAGCUCAUUCUGUGCCCUCACAGACAAUGGGGCAGGGUAGCAGAGAGGACCUUGCAUCUGAGUGCUUGGUAACAGAGAUGUGUCUGGCCGUUUCUCUCGCCUCUGAGUUUCUUUUGAAACCUUUCAGGUGAAUAGCAGUGACAAGUUUCACUCUGAGGCUCUGUCAAGAAUUUCAGGACCUCAAUACAGUUACACAUCACUUUUUUUUUCUUUCUAGAAGAAUUUCUGAGAUGGUAUUCAACAACAGACGGAAAUAAGAUAAACACAUGAAAGGAAGAGAUUAGAGAAAAGAAAAUCACGAUGCCCAUAAGGGGAUCCUUCCAUUGUCCCGAGUGUCAGCUACAAGACACAGCCACCACCGGGGACAAAAUGAAACUCAGGAGUUCCUGGUGGCAAAUGGGAAAAAAAAGAGGAACAGUGUGGGUCAAGGGUCCCCUCAUCCUUUCCAGAGAGAGCAGACAUCAUCAGGAAAAGCAAACGAUUUCCUAGAACUACAGUCUAAGAGCAACUGAUGGUGGGGGACUCCACGUAAGGUACACAAGUAUAUUUAACACAGCGCCAGUGCUAGCCGCGGAAUUUAUCUGUCUUUUAGGGAAAUAAAUUUCAGAACUCAGCAGGUUGACAGUGUCUCUUCAAAUUUACAGCAUCAAUGUGCGGUGAAGGAGGGGCUUCCCACAUCUCGCUUUACUGGACCGUCUAUCAACAUUUGAUCAAAUUGGGCCAAAGUUUCAAAGUACCCUUAAAUUAUACCCAGAGAAAGUGCUAGGACACGCUGAAUGCCUGUGCAGGCUUCAGAAUCAUGUCCUCGUGAGGUGGAAGCAUCUUCGAAAAAAUAUAUCAUGCCCAUUUCCCCUAACCUGGGUGCGUCUUUAGAAUACUUAAAAUUCAAAUGUAUCUGCCAGCCCAAGGUUGCCCAUAAUCCCAAGGUGGCCCAUUUCACAGAGAGGCACCCAAGCUAGCAAGGCAGUCCUGUGCAGAAUGCACUAAAGCAGGAGUUGCUGCAGGUGCCUCGAGAGUCAACAGGGUAAGUGAGCGCUUUCUCCACAGUCUGCACUGUCACAGUUUGUGUGGAAUAAUUACGCAAAGGAGCCUAUGGGAGACGGUCUCAUUCAAACCACCCCACAGCCUGUGUUCCGUAGUCUCUCCGAACCCAAGCCAGGAGCUUGACUGUGGUUAUGAAUCUUGCGAAUAAAGGUUUCACUGUACUUUGUCUUACAUAUAAGGUCAUGUGGAUGCCUAGUGGAAGACACUCAUGAGGCGGGUUCUCACGGCCUUCAAGGUUAGCCCUGUCCUAUACUGAGAGAUGUGACGACUCAUAGGUUACACUGAUAGUGACAGAAGUGAAAGUUGGGAAUACGCUAAGGUAGAAAGAUGAAAGUGGCUACUGUGGUGUGAAUGAAAAGGUCCCCCUCUCUCCCCAUCCCUGGCUCCUGAGUUUGAACACUUGGUCCCCAGUUGGUGGCAGUGCUUAGUGAGCUUAUGAGGCCUUGCUAGAGGAAGUAUGUCAUUGGGGUAAGCUUUGAGGGCUUAUAACAUCACUCCUUAUCCUAUUGUCUCUCUGCUUGUUGUGUGUGGUUGAAACGUGACUUCUCAGCGUCUCCUUCUUGCCACCACAGGUCCCCAACCUUUAGAGACUCAACCUCUGCAACCACAGGCCCAAAUACAGUUAGACAUAGAACUGCCUCUGCAAAUAUGGACCGCAUGAAAUGUCCCCUCAGGCUCAUAGGCCAGAGCAGUAGGCCUCCAGCUGGUGGCGCUAUCUUGUCGUUUCCCAUGGGUGCUGAUCUGUAUGUAGCUGGUGGAGAGAUACAGGAUAAGGCCUGGCCUUUGUGGGCUUCCACUCUCUCCUGCUUCCUGCCCAAUCUCUCUGCCUCCUCAGCCUCCAAGGUAUAAUGAGCCUAUGUCUCUGCUGUCAUGAGAUGAUGAUGGGUUGAAACCACAGGCCCAAAUGAUCCUUUUCCCUUAAAGCUGUUCCAAUCAGGUACUUUGGUCACAGCAAGAAGAAAAUAUUAUUGAUUCAAAGUAUCAUCAAUGUACUAAAUUUUUAAAAAAUCAGUUUUGUAGAAAUCUCAAAGCGUGGUGGCAUUUCUUCCUUUUGUACUUUAGGCAUUGAUCGAGUCCAUUUUGUGAUUUAUGCUUUUGGGCCUUGCUCAGUAGCACACUGAGUUGGGAAAAGCCAAGGGUUUGGCUGUUGAGAGAGGUGAGAGACCUUUAUAUGAGAAACCAUUGUAGCCUGUGUUCAAGUUUCACCUUUGUGGUUGAGUCUAGUCUCGGAUUUUGUUCUCUUGUUGUCAAGCUGUCUUGUUUCCCAUGUUAUUUUGUUCCUUGUCGCUAAAACAGCAGCCAAAGCCACCACAGAAACUAUUGAGUGGUCAUCAAUACAAAUAUCCCAAAUAUCUGGGGACAUGCCUCUCUCUGCGUUUGCAGUUUUUUGGAGCAAUUGAGAUUUGGAAACAGCAACUCGUCCACUAAAGUGCAGCACGUGGGUGAGCAUCGGCAAGUGCUCCGCCUGGGUUCUCAGACUCCCUUGCUCUCCCAAGAACUCUGUUUGCCCAUUAGUGUUAAACGUCAGUUAGUGUUCUGUCCUCGUGGCUGUUUUGCUUGGAUUUGUUGCUCAGCUCUGAAAAUUGGCUCUGAGCAACAAAUUGCUAUAAAAGAGAAGCCAUUUGUUUGUUGGUGUUUUUUCUUUUCUUUUCUUUUCUUUUCUUUUUUCUUUUUUCUUUUCUUUAGUGAAGUAAAUGUGGGUGGGAAGGAGAAAGGGUGGCUGUUUCACUUCCUGUGAAAAAGGAAAGAAAGAAGGAAAGAAAGAAAGAAAGAGAGAAAAUUAAAGAAAGAAAGAAAGAAAGAAAGGAAGAGAAAG
rnacentral:lncRNA from 1 species